AGCAGGAAUAGAAUUUAUCGCGUGUUAUAUAAGUUAAUCAAGGCGGACGUUUUUCCGCCCUCGACCUCGCUCACCCACGCGCAUGUUCGCCAUCCACCACCUGGUUUCCCGGGGUGGUUAGGCGCAAGUGGUGAAUUCUUGCGACAGGGAAAGAAUUCGCUUUAUUUCAUCGCUGCCGCCGUCGGCGCGUCGCAAGUUUUGACGCAAAAUGUGAGCUGUAUUUCAGCACUAAUAAAGUACCGCCGCCGCUGCUGGCUGCCGCACAGCGCGCCACGCGACGCGAUGAAAUAGUGGCGCGUAAUGGAGUGAAUGCGGGUGAGAGGCGGUUUGAGGCAGCGGAUGCCGAGGCUCGAGCAAAACGGCGCAAAAACCGCUACCGAAAAGAGUCCAUAAACUGUAACAACGCGCCACUAACUUAAAAUUGAUACCGAAAAUACACGUAAUUGAAAGGACUGUAUAUCGAUAGCCGCGAUGGAAAAUUGUAAGUUGAAAUUGGAAAUUGGAAAUUGAAAAGCCAAGAACAAGAGAAUAAGAGAGAAACAAUGAAAGUCGGUUGGUUAUUACUAAUCAUCGGUUAGCAGCCAGCCGAAGAGCCCCCCGCCCCCCGCUAAUGCAAGAGGGUUGGUUGGACAUGAUUACGGAAGGAACAGAUUUGACGGCAUAAAAAUAAAGGCACGAAGCUCGCGAACUAA